rnacentral:misc_RNA from 1 species
GAUGAAGAACGUAGUGAAAUGCGAUAAGUAAUGUGAAUUGCAGAAUUCAGUGAAUCAUCGAAUCUUUGAACGCACCUUGCACCCUUUGGCAUUCUGAAGGGUAUGCUCGUUUGAGUGUCAUUGUACUCUCACACUCCCGAUCUUUGCAUUGGGAGCAGUGGACUUGGGUUUGCUGCUUCACCGUCGCUUACCUCAAAUAGGUUAGUGCAACUCUUGGUUGGACAUAGUACGGCGUGAUAAGUGUUCUUCGCCGGUGCCUCGCAAAGAGGGUGGCCGAUCGGGAUGUUUGUGCUCCAAACCGUCUUCGGACAAUCUCUGACGACUUGACCUCAAAUCGAGUAAGACUACCCGCUGAACUUAAGCAUAUCAAUAAGCGGGAGGA